rnacentral:lncRNA from 1 species
GCCUCCUACCCUCCCCCCGACCCUCCUGUGCGGCCACUUCUAGCACAGACUUCAGGGCUCACCGUCAGCACCUGCAACACAGUCCUCCUGUGUCACCACUUGUCAGCUGUCAGGCUGUUCGGCACUUUAAACCCAUUUCUAGUAGAGCGACACUGAUUUUGAGUGGUUCACUUUCUUCCCUGUGAACUUGUGAUCUGUGUAUGGCAGGAUGCGCCAGUUAGUGUGUGGGUGCCAUCUUUCUAACCCGGUGACCCAUCCAGUCUCUGGACUGGGGCAUCUCCGGUCUCCAGCAGCAUUCUGCCCGAGGCUGUUCUGCUGUUAUUGGUGACUGCCGUGAGCCACUGAGUCAGGCCUUCCAGAUGAGGAGAGAGGUGUUGGUUCAACCAAACCACUGGCCAUUUGACCAGGGGCUUCGUAGCAGCAAGGGCCAGGAGACAGGCGUGUUCUGUGUGGUUUCUGUGUUUCAUUUGUGGUGGUGUUUUUGGCCGGGGUUGGGAGGUUUUUUGUUUGUUCUGUUUGAUGACACCAUAUGUGUGUAACAUCUCCACACAGAGCCACACAGUAUGUACGUGAAGCCAGCUCUGCAUCCUUCCUUAGAGCAGUUAUGUUGUUACCUUCAAAAUUUGGACUUGGUUAUUAGAACCUGAACACAUAAUUGGAAAAACAGUAAUUCCCUAACCUUGCAGGGAAGACUCUAGGCUUUCCACCUGCAGCGUUAGAAACACACAGCAGUGUUCAGGUGUGGGCAGGUAGACACACCUGGGGUGGUCCCGCAGACUGCAUGGAGAUGGCAGUGGCUCUCCGUGGCAUCACUGCUGCAUGACAGUGUGACUUUCAUGUGGAUCUGUGUUGCUGCAACGGAAGUCUUUGGCUGGUAGAAUUUCCACAUGGAUUUUUUUUUUCUCUUAAAAAGCAAGAGAACAAACUGCGAUUGAGCCUCUUUUUAGCGCUCAGUAGAGCAGGCGCACAGGAAGCAGAUGAGAAUAAGCCCGUGCUGGUGCGGAAGACUGUGCUAUUGAAGUGGCGCGUUGCAAAGGCCUGUCCGUGCCCUCUUUCCUCGCUUAGCUCCUGCCUGCUGCCCGCCGCCCCUCCUGCCCCUCCUGCCCCUCAGGGAAUGCUGAAGCCUCUGCCCCUGGCCUGUGCUCUGCUUCUCACUGCCUGUGUCUCACGACCAUGGGUGGAAGCAAAACUUGCCUUGCAAGUGAAGCCUCGCUUGGCCAUUCUCGUUUCUUCCCGCUGUGGUGCACCUUCUUGGGCUGUUUCUGGAUCUGUCUGCAUGCACCCACGGCCACCCCCAUGCUCGCCUCCACCUCAGAGUAAGUGUUGUGUUUUGCCACGUUUCAGACUACUCCAAAGGAUUCGGCGGGAAGUAUGGGGUGCAGAAGGAUCGGAUGGAUAAGAAUGCGUCAACCUUUGAGGAUGUCACCCAGGUGUCCUCUGCCUACCAGAAGACAGUACCUGUCGAAGCUG